GAAGCGGCGGACCCACGUCCGGCGGCGCGUUGCGCUCCCGGGCGCUUUUGCG
rnacentral:sRNA from 1 species